AACGUAGGAGACAAACGUUAUCCGGAGUUACUGGGCGUAAAGGGCGCGUAGGCGGCCUGUUAAGUCGAACGUGAAAUCCCCGGGCUCAACCCGGGAACUGCGUCCGAGACUGGCAGGCUCGAAUCCGGGAGAGGGAUGUGGAAUUCCAGGUGUAGCGGUGAAAUGCGUAGAUAUCUGGAGGAACAUCGGUGGCGAAGGCGGCAUCCUGGACCGGUAUUGACGCUGAGGCGCGAAAGCCAGGGGAGCAAAUGGG
rnacentral:rRNA from 1 species